rnacentral:rRNA from 1 species
GAUGAAUGCUGGCGGCGUGCCUAACACAUGCAAGUCGAGCGGUAACAGGUCUAGUUUACUAGAUGCUGACGAGCGGCGGACGGCUGAGUAACGCGUGGGAAUCUGCCCCAAAGUGAGGAAUAACUGCCCGAAAGGGUAGCUAAUACCGCAUAUGGUCUUCGGAUUAAAGUAUUUAUUACGCUUUGGGAGGAGCCCGCGUCGGAUUAGGUUGUUGGUAGGGUAAUGGCCUACCAAGCCGACGAUCCGUAGCUGGUCUGAGAGGAUGAUCAGCCAGACUGGGACUGAGACACGGCCCAG